CGUAAACAAAGGGAAGCGAGCCUGUGAAGGGGAGCAAAUCCCAAAAAUAACGUCCCAGUUCGGAUUGUAGUCUGCAACUCGACUACAUGAAGCUGGAAUCGCUAGUAAUCGCGAAUCAGAAUGUCGCGGUGAAUACGUUCCCGGGUCUUGUACACACCGCCCGUCACACCAUGGGAGUUGGUAACGCCCGAAGUCAGUGACCCAACCUUAGGGAGGGAGCUGCCGAAGGCGGGACUGAUAACUGGGGUGAAGUCGUAACAAGGUAUC
rnacentral:rRNA from 1 species